GAACCUACGGGACGCAGCAGUGGGGGAUAUUGCGCAAUGGAGGGAACUCUGAUGCAGCGACGCCGCGUGAGGGAAGACGGUCUUCGGAUUGUAAACCUCUGCCUUUGGGGAAGAAAAUGACGGUACCCAAAGAGGAAGCUCCGGCUAGCUACGUGCCAGCAGCCGCGGUAAUACGUAGGGAGCGAGCGUUGUCCGGAAUUACUGGGUGUAAAGGGAGCGUAGGCGGGCGAGAAAGUUGAAUGUUAAAUCUACCGGCUUAACUGGUAGCUGCGUUCCAAACUUCUUGUCUUGAGUGAAGUAGAGGG
rnacentral:rRNA from 1 species